rnacentral:rRNA from 1 species
GACGAACGCUGGCGGCGUGCUUAACACAUGCCAGUCGAACGGUGAAGCUCCAGCUUGCUGGAGUGGAUCAGUGGCGAACGGGUGAGUAACACGUGAGCAACCUGCCCCUGACUCUGGAAUAAGCGCUGGAAACGGCGUCUAAUACUGGAUACGAGAAGGGUCCGCAUGGGCACUUUCUGGAAAGUUUUUCGGUUGGGGAUGGGCUCGCGGCCUAUCAGCUUGUUGGUGAGGUAAUGGCUCACCAAGGCGACGACGGGUAGCCGGCCUGAGAGGGCGACCGGCCAAACUGGGACUGAGACACGGCCCAGACUCCUACGGGAGGCAGCAGUGGGGAAUAUUGCACAAUGGGCGAAAGCCUGAUGCAGCGACGCCGCGUGAGGGAUGACGGCCUUCGGGUUGUAAACCUCUUUCAGCAGGGAAGAAGCGAAAGUGACGGUACCUGCAGAAGAAGCACCGGCUAACUACGUG